AAGUUCACCCAAUUGCAAGAUGAAGUCAAUCCAGAUGAUACUCGCAGUCUUUGUGAUCACCGCUCUGUGCGGAAUAGUUAAAUCUGGCGGCGGUGAUUAUGAUUACAGAGGAUAUUGCUCUAAUAAGGGUUGUCGAUCAGGAUAUAUUUUUUAUGGCAACACUGGAUAUUGUAAUUAUGGCACUAGGUCUUACAAGUAUAAUUGCAACUCUUAUGCUGGAUGCUGUCUUCCGCGUAACCCAUACGGCACAGUAAAAUAUUACUGCACCAACAAAUACGGAUGUCCUGACGAUUACUAUUUUUAUAACAACAAAGGCUACUAUUAUUAUAAUAACAAGGACUACUACAAUUGUCUUUCUUACAAUGGAUGUUGUCUUCGUAGUGGUUACUAAAGGUCAAUCCUAUAUUGAAAUAGUUCGUCAAAGAGAAGUCCACUCGAUAUUCAAUUAUGAUUUCAAAUAAAAUUAUUAAGCAUUA